rnacentral:piRNA from 1 species
UCCGAUGUUUCUUCUGUCAUGUCCUGUGG